GCCUCCCCCAGGAAACUGACCCCAGAGGCAAAGACAGCAAUCGAAAAGGUACAGAAGGCCUUGUCAGAGAGGUAGGCACAUCGGUGUGAACUAAACGUGCCUUUCCAAUUCAUUGUUCUAGGAGAACUGCCACAUUUACAUGGGUUGAUUUUCCAAUGGAUUGAGGGGCAGAAGGAUCCACUCUUGAUCAUAGAGUGGGUUUUUCUCUCCCAUCAAAGAUCCAAGACCAUCACUGAGCCACAAGAGCUGAUAGCAAAACUGAUUCGGAAGGCCAGGGUGAGAUUAUGCGAAUUGGCAGGUUGUGACUUUGCAUGUAUUCAUCUCCCAGUCAGGCUUUCUGAGGAGGGAAGGAACUCUCCUGAGAGACUGACCAAAGGGAUGUUUGAACAUUUGCUCCAGAGCAGCACCAGUCUCCAAUUAUCUAUGGACAGCUACAGGGGACAAUUAUCAGUCCACGUGCCAUCUCACAAGAUGUUUAACGAGGAAUUCCACCUUAUUCCUCCAGAGAAAAGGAGCCGGAGGGCACUCAAGGCUCUCACAGUGUUCAUGGAUGCAUCUGGGGCUUCCCACAAGUUAGUGAUGACUUGGAGAAAUCCACAGACCCGGCACUGGGAAGCUGAUGUUGAGUUUGUGGAGGGAUCCCCCCAGGUGGCUGAACUGGCUGCAAUGGUAAGAGCUUUGAGAGGUUCUCGGAGCCAAUCAACUUGGUAACAGACUCUGCCUAUGUGGUGGGAGUAGUGUCCAGGGUGGAGCAGGCUGUGCUCAAAGAAAUAGUGAAUGAACAUCCCUCAGAUUGCUCUCAAGGCUGAUUUAUUUAAUCUCUCAUCGAGAGCAUCCAUUCUUUGUGAUGCAUGUGAGGUCACACACUGAUUUGCCAGGUGAGAUUGCAGAGGGGAAUCACAGAGCAGACUCCCUUGCUGCACCAGUUUACAAAGCACGUCUCCCUGAUGUCUUCUAAGAGGUAAGGCUGAGACACCAACAUUACUACCAGAAUGUGCCAGGUCUGAUCCGACAGUUCCAGCUAACACGGAGUCAGGCGCGAGCCAUUGUGGCCAACUGUCCAAACUGCCAGCUCCAGGCCAUGCCAUCGAUGGGCAUGGAGGUAAACCCCUGAAGCCUUGGCAGCUAUGAGGUGCGGCAGACAGACAUCACACACAUUCAAAGUUUUGGUCGCCUUGAAUGCGUUCAUGGUGCAUGUAAGCCUGGACACAUUCUCAGGUGCAGUGUAUGCCUCUGCUCAUAUAGGACAAAAGGCUAUGCAUGCCAAACAGCAGCUAGUGCAAGCAUUUUCAGUACUGGGGGUUCCAUAAGCGAUUAAAACAGAUAAUGGCCCAGCAUAUGCAUCCAAGGAGUUUCUAGAAUUUCUCCAGCAGUGGGGAGUGAAACAUUAGACUGGUAUCGCUCACUCCCCCACAGGUCAAGCUGUGGUUGAGUGUGCACAACAGACGCUCAAGCAGGUAUUGAAAAGACAGAGCAGUUCAGUUCCAUGGAUGUCUCCAUGGGAGAAGCUCUGUAAAGUGAUGUUAUAAUCAAUUUUCUGAACUGUUCAUUUGAAAACAUGAGUCCACCAGUUGUACAUCACUUAAACAGUGGCAAUCAGUUCAAAUUGUCUCAGUGUCCACCAGUCUUGAUUAGGGAUCCAGAAACUUGGGAAACCAAGGGUCCCUAUGAGCUCGUGACCUGGGGUCAUGGCUAUGCGUGUGUAGCUACUCCCUCAGGCCCUCGAUGAAUUCCC
ensembl:lncRNA